ACUCCGAGAGCUCCGAUACUUCCCUUAGACUCGGCUUAGCAUAUGGUGGUUAGAGAUGGAAACAAUACAAAGAAGUUGAAUGGUGGAGGGAGGAGAGUGAUGUAAAUCUUUCAACUCGGUAACAACACAAGAGACAAUAUGUCUAAAUAGUAAUAAUGCUCUUAUGUUUGUUUGAAGGUUUUCGUCUGCGGAAAAGGUUUUCGUUUUUUUUUU